UGGCAUGUGUGUGUGUGUGUGUGUGUGUGUGUAUACACACACACACACACACACACACACACGCAAAUACACACAUAUAUUACCA